rnacentral:rRNA from 1 species
CCUACGGGCGGCAGCAGUGGGGAAUAUUGCACAAUGGGGGAAACCCUGAUGCAGCGACGCCGCGUGAGUGAAGAAGUAAUUCGUUAUGUAAAGCUCUGUCCUCAAAGAAGAUAAUGACGGUACUUGAGGAGGAAGCCCCGGCUAACUACGUGCCAGCAGCCGCGGUAAUACGUAGGGGGCUAGCGUUAUCCGGAAUUACUGGGCGUAAAGGGUGCGUAGGUGGUUUCUUAAGUCAGAGGUGAAAGGCUACGGCUCAACCGUAGUAAGCCUUUGAAACUGGGAAACUUGAGUGCAGGAGAGGAGAGUGGAAUUCCUAGUGUAGCGGUGAAAUGCGUAGAUAUUAGGAGGAACACCAGUUGCGAAGGCGGCUCUCUGGACUGUAACUGACACUGAGGCACGAAAGCGUGGGGAGCAAACAGGAUUAGAUACCCCUGUAGUC